GACGAACGCUGGCGGCGUGCUUAACACAUGCAAGUCGAACGGAAAGGCCCUGCUUUUGUGGGGUGCUCGAGUGGCGAACGGGUGAGUAACACGUGAGUAACCUGCCCUUGACUUUGGGAUAACUUCAGGAAACUGGGGCUAAUACCGGAUAGGAGCUCCUGCUGCAUGGUGGGGGUUGGAAAGUUUCGGCGGUUGGGGGUGGACUCGCGGCUUAUCAGCUUGUUGGUGGGGUAGUGGCUUACCAAGGCUUUGACGGGUAGCCGGCCUGAGAGGGUGACCGGCCACAUUGGGCCUGAGCUACGGCCCAGACUCCUACGGGAGGCAGCGGUGGGGAAUAGUGCACAAUGGGCGGAAGCCUGAUGCAGCAACGCCGCGUGCGGGAUGACGGCCUUCGGGUUGUAAACCGCUUUCGCCUGUGACGAAGCGUGAGUGACGGUAAUGGGUAAAGAAGCACCGGCUAACUCCGUG
rnacentral:rRNA from 1 species